rnacentral:rRNA from 1 species
UACAGAGGGUGCGAGCGUUGUCCGGAAUCACUGGGCGUAAAGGGCGCGUAGGUGGCGGCCCAAGUCCAUGGUGAAAGCUCGAUGCUCAACAUCGAGUCGGCCACGGAUACUGGGUUGCUCGAGCACUGUAGGGGCAGAUGGAAUUCCGGGUGUAGCGGUGGAAUGCGUAGAGAUCCGGAAGAACACCGGUGGCGAAGGCGGUCUGCUGGGCAGUUGCUGACACUGAGGCGCGACAGCGUGGGGGGCAAACAGG